rnacentral:rRNA from 1 species
UACAGAGGUCUCAAGCGUUGUUCGGAUUCAUUGGGCGUAAAGGGUGCGUAGGCGGCGUGGUAAGUCGGAUGUGAAAUCUCGGAGCUUAACUCCGAAACUGCAUUCGAUACUGCCGUGCUUGAGGACUGGAGAGGAGACUGGAAUUUACGGUGUAGCGGUGAAAUGCGUAGAUAUCGUAAGGAAGACCAGUGGCGAAGGCGGGUCUCUGGACAGUUCCUGACGCUGAGGAGCGAAAGCGUGGGGAGCGAACAGG